GGAUCGGUAGUUCAGUUGGUUAGAAUGCUGCCCUGUCACGGCAGAGGUCGCGGGUUCGAGUCCCGUCCGGUCCGCCC
rnacentral:tRNA from 1 species